rnacentral:rRNA from 1 species
GUGCCAGCCGCCGCGGUAAUACGAAGGUCCCGAGCGUUGUUCGGAAUCACUGGGCGUAAAGGGAGCGUAGGCGGUGCGGUAAGUCAGAUGUGAAAUCCCGGGGCUCAACCCCGGAACUGCAUCCGAUACUGCCGUGCUAGAGGAUUGGAGAGGUAGCUGGAAUUCUUGGUGUAGCAGUGAAAUGCGUGGAUAUCAAGAGGAACACUCGUGGCGAAAGCGAGCUACUGGACAACUCCUGACGCUGAGGCUCGAAGGCCAGGGUAGCGAAAGGGAUUAGAUACCCCUGUAGUCCUGGCAGUAAACGGUGCACGCUUGGUGUGAGGGGAUUCGACCCCCCUUGUGCCGGAGCAAACGCGUUAAGCGUGCCGCCUGGGAAGUACGGUCGCAAGACUAAAACUCAAAGGAAUUGACGG